UACGUAGGGGGCAAGCGUUGUCCGGAUUUAUUGGGCGUAAAGAGCGUGUAGGCGGCCAGGUAGGUCCGCUGUGAAAACUCGAGGCUUAACCUCGAGAUGUCGGUGGAAACCAUCUGGCUAGAGUCCGGAAGAGGAGAGUGGAAUUCCUGGUGUAGCGGUGAAAUGCGCAGAUAUCAGGAAGAACACCGGUGGCGAAAGCGCUCUGCUAGGCCGCAACUGACACUGAGGGACGAAAGCUAGGGGAGCGAAUGGG
rnacentral:rRNA from 1 species